rnacentral:rRNA from 1 species
CCCUUAGAUGUUCUGGGCCGCACGCGCGCUACACUGAUGCAUUCAACGAGUCUAAAACCUGCUCUGAUAGGGGUGGGUAAUCUUUUGAAUGUGCAUCGUGAUUGGGAUAGAUGAUUGCAAUUUUUCAUCUUCAACGAGGAAUGCCUAGUAAACGCAAGUCAUCAGCUUGCAUUGAUUACGUCCCUGCCCUUUGUACACACCGCCCGUCGCUCCUACCGAUUGAAUGAUCCGAUGAAUAUCAUGGAUUGAGGAUGCAAGCAGGUUCGCCUGUCUUCAUCUUCGAGAAGUGAAGUAAAUCUUAUCAUUUAGAGGAAGGAGAAGUCGUAACA